UUGAAUCAAUUCACAUUUCUAAAGAUCUGAACAUAACUAGGACUUGAUUAAGGAGACGUCAUUUUGAUACAGGUGUUCCCACCUCGGGAGUAUACCCCCCAAAUGGGAUUUAUUUAGCCCAUUUUCCCAGCAUGACUGCACAAUCCACGACAGCAGGAAGACAAAGGCUUUGUUACAACAGAACAGAGCAGAGACAUCUGUGGCCGUCAGCUUCUUUAAAGCCAG